ACACAAACGAACUUAUUUAUAAAACAGAAAUCAACUCACAGACAUAGAAAACAAACCUAUGGUUACCAAAGGGGAAUGGGGGGGGGGUGAGGGAUAAAUUAGGAGUUUGAGAUUAGCAGUACAAACAACUAUACACAAAAUAGGUAAAGAACAAGAUCCUACUGUGUAACACAGGGAACUACAAUCAAUAUCU